AAUAAAGGUUGCUUAUUUUUCUUAUUAAUUUUCCAAAAGAGUUUAAGAUUUGGAGGCUUGUUAAAACAAAUCUUUUUAGCAAGAUUAAUUUUAAAUUUAGACAUUAUGAGUAUCAAAUUAAGCUGUCAGCCUGUGAAAUGAUACAGAGAAAGAUGUGUUACAACAAUUCCCUCCUCUCCAACCUCUGUAGAGAUGGGUAAGUCUGAACAGGAAAACCAGAGGCCAGGAAUCACAUUUUAGUAAUUCUUUUCUAGUUAUGUCAGAUUUCUAGCAUGCUAUUAGAGACAUAUGUGUCAUCUUCACCAUCAACCAACAUAUCAUUGCUGUUUCAAACUGUUACUAGAGCUGUUGACACAGAAUAUUGUGUCUGUCGACAGCUCCAAUUAGCUGGCGUGUCUGACUGGUGACAGCAUGGUCUACUUUUGUUUACAGGGACGGUGGGAGCUGUAUCUCCGUCUCCCAACCUCCAGUGGCAGACAGAUGGAUAGAGCUAUAUAAUCAUCAAUGGAAGUGUGUGAUAUUCUGUCUUCACAAACCAUCGUGCAAAGCAGACCCAACGGCCUUUUGUCUGCUUUUAGAAAUGACUGCAAGAAUCCUCCCAGCUGUCAAGUUAUGGGGGUUUACCUUUUCAUCACUUGAAGACCAGUGGUUACGUGAUUUGGACCCACUGAGGAACGUAGAAUGAUAUCAGUUCAAAAGUAUUGGAUACCUGUGGAGCACUUUGCAAGAUAUUGCAGGAUUUUGGGGGCUUUCUAUAGAACUGCACAGAAGUAUUGCUGAGUACUUUGCAACAUGAAUUCCUGCAAUUCACAGGAAUUUGCCACGCUUUUCAGGUGAUCAUGCUUGGUAAGUGCUUCAUUUUUAUCUCAAUUGGUUUGAUUUUGUGCUUUCAUUAUAUUAUUGCAUUUAGGUUUUGCAUACUUCGGGGUUUACUUUUUUUUUUUAACCUAUCUUUAAUCCCA
rnacentral:lncRNA from 1 species